rnacentral:rRNA from 1 species
GCAGGCUGAAACUCGCCUGCAUGAAGUCGGAAUUGCUAGUAAUCGCAGAUCAGCAUGCUGCGGUGGAUACGUUCCCGGGCCUUGUACACACCGCCCGUCACACCAUGGGAGUCGGUAACACCCGAAGCCUGUAGUCCUAACCGCAAGGAGGACGCAGUCGAAGGUGGGAUUGAUGACUGGGGUGAAGUCGUAACAAGGUAGC